UUUACCCCCUAAAUUUGCACUUUUCGAUUCACCUGGUAGAUACACGUGCACCGCUGAGGCCUGCCAGGUCAUGGUUUUUAGCUUUGGUGUGCUAUGAAUUAUCACUCUACAAAUUUCUAGCCUUACAGGACGACCGUUAGUCAAAAGGUUCACUAGCUCUUAGACUAUAAGCAUUUUUCUCCGAACGAACCAAACGAGCAGAGAGGUCUGUAACAAAUUGAUGUAGCUCGUUCGCGAGCAAAAUUCUGCCGAACCGAACGAGCCGAUCAUUUUCGGACGAGUGUCUGUAACCAUUGAAAGAUCAAAAGCGAGCAUUUGUUCGUUGAUGCUCAGUAAAUAGAACAAACAGUUCGACUAACCUGAGAAUUUACUAAUUUGUGAGCGCUCGGCUCGUUUGGUUCGUUCGGAAGAAAAUGCUGGAGCCAAUACUCAUCAUAGAAUCCUAUGUAUGGUGAACAUUUUUGAAGUUAUGCUUCUUUAGGCGCGAUUGAGAGUAAAUUUUUAUUAUUCUGAGCGCAUGCGCGCACAGACAGUAUGUAGUUCGUUGCUAAUCUUUCAAGUUAUGUAUGUAUCAGCGCAAAUAAGUCAUUAAAAGAAUAUAUUAGUGUUUUUAGUAAAUAUAUUAUUUAUUAUAAUUUUUGUGUCUUUGGAUUUGUCUUCCUCGGGAGUAAGAUCAUAAAGUAUCAAUUAUAAAAAACAUUUUUAUACUUCACUUGAUCUAUUUGUCACCGUGAUUUGUAAUUAUGUCCGAGAUGUCACGUACACAGAGCGAUGAUAGCUUCGUUGGUAGAGCAUUGGACCAGGGAUCGAGAGGUCCCGGGUUCAAAUCCCGGACGAUUCAUAUUCUUUUUUUUUAAUUUUUGGUAUUGUUUUAAUAAAAAUUUUUUUUAAAGUGGUAGGUAAGUAUUAAAAUUAGUUUAAUAUUUAAAUAAAAUACAAAUAAACUGUUCAGUGUAUUUAUUUCGUUGAUAUUAUAUAAUAGAAGUAUGGUUCUUUUCAUGAGCAUUUUUCAGUGCGUCACAGUUUUUCGAUUUCUCUCUAACGCAUUCAAUUGUAUGUGACAGAAAAAAAACGCACGUCGCUGAUUACAUUCCGUCGGUGACAAUUAUAACAUUUAAUCUAGUUGUCAAUAGAUGGCGCUAAUAAUACAAUAUUAAAUAAUAUAUUAUUCUAUAUAAAAAAAAUUAAUCUGUACAAUUUAUAAGACUAUACAAAUCAAAGAAAAUACCAUUUUAUAAAUGUAAUAAACAAAAUUGAUUUGUUUUUAUACCCAAUUGCAAAUAAAAUGUGACAACUGUCAGAUUUAACUAAAAUGUCAUGUUAGAAUAAAUAUCAUAAAUGUGUAUUUAUCACGGACUAACCUUUUUUUCUAUCAUUUGUGACGCACUGAAAAAUGCUCACGAAAAGAACCAUAUAACUUCUUACGUGCAUACAAAGUACACACACAUUCUUUUUUAAGAUUCCAGCAUAUUGUAAGGUAUAGUACUCUGGGCGGAUUAACGCGUAAUUUAAAUUUUUGUGAUUACCUGCAUAUCGUAAUGUGUAAUAGUCUAACUUGAUUAACGCGGAAUCUUAUCUAUGCUGGUAAAGGCAUCUCACACUUCUUAUGGAAAAUGGAAUGUCCCUCAGUUACCAUCAUUUCAUACCAUUGCUCCAACUCUGAAUUUUGAUUAAUAACCGCGUAAAUUGAUAUAAAUAAAUCUAAAAUCAAAUGGAUAUGUACGUGAGUUAGAGUGAGUAGAGAUUUUGUAAAUUGGCAGUUCAUAAAUCUUUCUGCAGGUAUUAACCCAAGAAACAAUUGGACGUAAUAUUACGACGUCUUAACGUUGGAUUAAAUGCCCCAACGUUAAUACGCGACGUUGCGACGACGGUCAGAAAACCGCUAUUUGCACCUAAGUGGGGAAUAGAAAUACGGGUUGCCUCGACGUCCCCCUCUCGACUUCUCAGCUCGAGAUAUUUUAUCGUCAAAUUACGUUAGUUUUUAGGACUUUGGUCUUGUAAAGUAAUAGUAUAAAAUUCUCUACCACAGAAGUACGGCCGACACACUUCAUUUUUACCAAAUAGGUUAAUAAUCUUGGAGGAUAUUAAAUCAUCAGAAACUAAGAUGCAUGACGGCCUGUUGAUACUUAUUUGAGUACACUAGGUUCGCUUUCAAGAUGCAGUAGAAAUAAACAAACCAAGACACGUUAAAUGCCACUAGGAGCACAACCGAAUCAUAAUUUAAAAUGUAUAUGCAUUGUAAAUCUCAAAUCAUGAUUUCCAAAGUUUAUGCAUUGUAAAUUAUGAUUCGGGAGUGCUCCUAGUAGCAUUUAACGUGCCUUGGUUUGUUUAUUUCUACUGCAUCUUGAAAGCGAAUUUAGUGUAGGUUCCUACUCUAUUUAGAAUAUAACCUAAGUGACUUGUAUAAUUAUUUUAUUAAUCAUCUGCCUCAUUGCAUAAUGCGGUCGAAAAUUUACAAACGCAAGGAAAUGUACUGUUAAACUAGGUAUAAAAAUUGCUAAAAACUGAAAGCGCCUCAGAAACGUAGCCUUAGCUCAACGUUGGUCCAUAGGAAAAACAGACGUUGUCCUUGGUUAAGGCUUAUUGUGAACCAAUUUUGUCCUUAAAUUUAACGUCCCAUUAGGACAAAAUUGGUUGCAGGUCGUAAAAUUGCUACUUGGGAAGUAGAUAAUUAGCCCUAUUCUGUAACUUGUAACAAAUCGAAUAGAAAUGACCAAGUCGAAUCGUAAUUACCCAAAAUCGGAAUGUUUGAUAUCUAUCGCGUCAUUUUUGUGUUUGGAUCGGUAUUCUGUAACUCAUAUCGUAAUCGAAAUUUUUGACUUCUAUUUCACGCGGUUCUGAGGAGGUGGCAACCGCGCAGUAACCAGCGAAAUUGUGUUCUGUGACCUAUUUUGUUACUUGAAAUAUGACACCGUUGCCAUUUCCUCAAUGUUUUCAUACUUUCUUCAUACUAUCCUCAAAGUUUUGAGAAGUAAAUAAAAUAUUCGUGUAAAUACUGGAUGCAAAAAGCUCAAAAGAGGAUAAAUGGUUUUAAAUUAAAGUUAAUUAAAAUUGAUAUAAAAAAGAAGAUAAACUGAUAAAUAAAAAAGAUAAGUGAAGAUAAGAAGUAUAAAUGCUUUUAAAUCAAAGAUAUUUAAAUUGAUGUUAUUAAUUCAUUAUUAUUAAUAAAUUAUUUAAAAUUGAUAUUACUAAUAAUAUGCAAUCUUUAAGAUUCGAUUCCAGUUGAAAUAACUGCUAAACAGCUUUUCCCAAAAAUGGCAUCUUUUCUAUAAUUUGUUCAGACUAUGAGCGUUGACUGAUAAAUAUACAAGUAUACUGGUAUAAUAUUUAUUUAUCAAUUAACGCAUAAGAAGUCUAUCGUAUGCUAUUCUUGUGCAUUAUACCAUUGAUUGCAAUUAUUGUACAAGAAAUAUGGGAACAAAAUAUGGCAACAAUGUGAAUGGGAAACAUUCAGACGCUAAGUAGCAAAUAAAUAAGGUUAGGUCCAAUUAUUCAUACUCGUACAACAUGUCUAAAUGAAAUAUAUAUAGUUCUCUAAACAAAUAACACCACAGACUAAAAAUUAAGCAGCUAAAAAAAGGUACAAAUACUAUAAAUAAUUAUAAAUAAGUAGUAUGUAAUUAAUUAUUUUUAUAUAUAAAAUAUAAACGUUAAAACAAAACAAAAUGCGCUUGCGUCAACCACAAUUCCGAUAAUCGAAAUCUCAUCUCGACAGGGUAAAUGCUGUCGAAGUGAUUUCCAUUCACAUUACGAUUGUACAGAUUCCGAAGUAGUUAUGGAAUACGGAUUUGGACUAUUUCUAUUCGACUUGGUCACUUCUAUUCGAUUUUACUGACUUCUAUCAUCGAAAUGAGUUACAGAAUAGGCAUGAAUAAAUGACAAUGCACUUCCAGUGACGCACCGCAAAAUCCCUAAUCGGCUUAGCUCACGUUGGGUUAAGGCCCGGCGCAAAUUGAACCUAAGCCAGACACAACCUGCGCCGGCGGGACGGGUGACCCGUGCAUUUAUUUUUCUAGCGUGCCGCAUAUUGAACACAACCCAACCCAACCGUUGGCUAUCGACGCGCGACGUGGCGAAUAGAGACGGGCAAAAUCAGUGUGGACAUGUAACGGUUAAUUUUGAUACCGGUUCUAAGUGGUACUGAGUACAAAUACUGAUUACAAAAUACAGAUGUAUCUGAUCCUUGUACUGAAUGGAGUAGGCAACUUAAAAUCGGUAUUUCCGUACUUGUAAAUAGUAACGUUUUAAAAAUAUCUUACACGUUUCUAGUAGUCGUAGCGGUAUGACUUUCGAAAACAUCGAAUUUGAUCAUAAGUGGGUGCAUAAAAAGAUAUUUUACACUGAGUAUUUUAUUUCUGCACAUAAUACCUACAUAUUUAAAAUAAUCUCUCCCCUACUGCUCCGUCAUAACUCAUAUUCCUCAAUUUACUGCUCGGAUCACAAUAAUUUACAAUUACUGCAGGAUCGCAAUCAUUUACAAUUACUGCAGGUCAUAAUCAUUCAUAAUCCAUCCGCUACUGAUCGGUCAUAAAAAAUAACACUAUCUGCUUAUUUCGUUUUUAAUUUUUAAGCAUAAAAAAUUUAAUAUGUAAUAAACAAAAAUGUAAUAUGCCGACAAGUUGAAUUUGAGGGUACUACGAUAUUUUUAUCGAUCACGGUUUUAAGUAACAUGAAUAAUUUUUCACCUUAUUUUUUAAUAAUGUGUUUUUGUAAAGGCAUAACUUUGAUUAUUAAUUUCGUAUCGCCUUAUCGCUUAUUUAGUGUACCAAAAGUUAUCAGAAUUUAAUGACAAAGACAACGCAGUUUUCACUCGGGGCGUUGACUAUGCUAAUAUUUUUAUUUAUCAUAAUAAAUUGUACUUAGGUACCAUCCGUAUUCAUUUCAAAUAAGUCCAUCUCCCACACAAAAACAAGUAAAAAUAAACAUCUAGCGGUGAGUCACACGUCCCACAGCCCAAGAAAACUGUACGCCAAUGACAAACGUUCCCAAACGAGACCUGUGAACGAAUGUACUGAUAGUCGGAUGCGCAAAACUGUCUACGCAGUUAGCCGGUGCAGGUUGUGUCUCGCUUAGGUUCAAUUUGCGCUGGGUCUAAGAGGCAGCUACAACGGCGCACUGCACCUAGCCUUGACCAUAGCCUCGCCGAAGCCAAGUAAGUACAGUGGAAGCUCGAUAACUCGGAUUAAUCGGGACCGCGGCCGAUCCGGGUUAUCGAAAAUCCGAGAUAGCCGGAGAAUAUGAUAAAAAUUAAUAAAAUACGGUAUACUUACAGAUAAACUCCGUUAGAAUUGAAAUAACAUGAAAUAUAUUUAUAAAUAUGCACAGUACCUACUCAUUAAAAUUACUAAAAAAACACCAAACACAAACGUAAGCAAACGGAAGCGAACAAUACAAGACACACAAUACAGUCACAACGAUGUAAUGUUAUUUAAGAACAGUGAAAACUAAAGACCAUUGUUUAUAAAAAAAUUUUUUAAAUAAUCUUUCCUAAACAAUGCUAAGAUAGUUUGAAAUAAAAAGGAAUAGGUACUACAGACAGGUGGCUGUUGUUUCUGCGGCGUGUGCUAUGAGUCAUUUUUAAUAUCGUAUAGUUCAAAUUACAGACAUACACAUUAUCUCUCAAAUAUUAUAUUACAUACAUUUUUAUUGUUGAAAGGUUUGUCUGAUAAUUAACUAUUUUGAUGGGAAAUAAGCCACAAUUAAAUUGAAAAAUAAUUUUAUUAACGUUUCGCGACGCCCAAAUCGGGUCGUUGUCAAAAUACAAAAUAUUGAAAACCAAAAUGUUUAUCUGAGGAAAAUCGGUCUGGGUUAGCCGGACUUCCGGGUUAUCGGGGGCCGACUUAUCGGGGUUCCACUGUACAUGCAUUGUCGUAAAUGCGCGUGGCCUCAACUUUGCACCGCACCGUCCUUCGCACAUCGCUGGGUACCAACGCCUCGCCUACGUAAGUUGCGCUUAGUAUUUUCGGAUCAUGGCACUUCGCACAGUGAUUGUUUUAGGGAUGUAUAAAGACAAAUUAAUUAGUUGAGUGUCUAUGCUUGUACCAAUUUGGAGCAGAAGAAGCAAAUAUCGCCACAAUAGUUUUAACAACACUCUGGAAAGAAAGGAAGGAAAGAAGUGGAUUCGCCAUAGUAAAUUAGGUUCUUAUUUAGAUGAUGAACACCUUGUAUUAAAAUUAGAAUUUAAAACAACGCUUUCUACGUUCGAUGUAAAGGAUAACGAUGACAUGAUUGAAAAAAUGCAUGUGAUACGCAUUAACGACAAUCGCCUUAUAAACAAUGUGUUCUGAGAAAGGUCAGAUGGAAGAAGGUCUGUAGGGCGGCCUAGAAAAAGGUGGAAAGAUGCAGUCAAAGAAGAUCUAGAGAAAAUGGGAGUGAGACAAUGGGAAAUAGUGGCACAGGACCGACAAACAUGGAAGGCUAUAGUAAACGCGGCAAAGACUCACGAAGAGUUGUAGCGCUAUUGAUGAUGAUGAUGAUGAUUGAAAAAAAAAAAAAGAAUAAAUGUGCGAUGCACGGUGCGUCAAUACGGCCACUAUUGUGCAAAGCCAAGGCUAGGCUAGGUGCGAGGUAUUGUGUGGUGCAAUGUGCCGUGCGCCGUUGUGGCCGUACCCUUAAGCUGUUUUCAAUAGUCACUAGACUAAUAUUUUUUAUGAAUAUGAUAGUUUUAUGGACUUCUAAAAUGUGAUUUACAUAAACUUUUAUUACAAUCUACACCGUUAUUAAUCAAAAUUCAGAGUUGUCGCAAUGAUAUAAAAUGAUUGUAAUUUCGAGACGAAUCUAUUCAAAUAUGAAUACGAAGAGGAUAUGGGUUUACUGAUGAGGGGAAAAAGAUAUCCGAAACCGGUAUAGACUCUUCCUGCACUCUCCGAUUUAACCAGAGUAUUAUACAGCUGCUGCAUUUUCGUGUUGCAAAGAAAUUGAAAAUGUUUCUACAUUUUUAAAUUUUACUGAAUUUGACUGACAUAUUUUUCAUAAGAUGUGUGCGGUGUCCUUUGUUUUUACCCAGGUUUUACUGUAUAAUGUAAAAUAUGUUAAUACAUCCGAAAGAGUUGUUUAAAACAAUUACGAUAAGAGUGUAUUCUUUAAGUACUGAGCAACCACAUACUCAAAUUAUUUGUAUUUCGUGAACACUAUUUGACGUGAUAAUUUAGUUUCCUGGCAGUGGAUGGACAUAUUAAGUGGAAACUAUAGAAUAUUUAAGCAAUAACGAUGUUCUGUAUUUAUAAUGUUAAUAAUAAAAAGAUAAGAUUUAUUUUAGGUACGUCGUUUGUUUAAGGUGUGUAUUCGGCAUUUUGCAAAACUGGAAUUUUAUUUUCUAAUGGUUAUUUAGUCAUUGGAAUUGAAAUCAAAUAUACAUAUAAGUUCCAUUCAGAGAAUAUUCAAACAACAUUUCAGGGCAAAAUAUUGAAAAAUAAGCCCACGGCAGCAAAUUUUUACAGACUCCUCAAAAAAUGGACUUUGCGGUGGACAUCAGAACUCUUCAUUGGAUCAUGAAUGUGAUCACAAAAAAAUUCAAAAAGAUUUUAUUAACUUAUUAGUUUCUCGAAGUAACGCUGUCUAGUUUAUUUUUAACGAUUUUUGAGUUUUUGGUAUCACUCAGAAGUAAAAAAAAAAUAUUUUUUUUGUAAAAUAGGGUGAAAAUUAGCAUAUUUAUUAUUGUUAAACAAAAAAUAAACACGAAACAAAAAAUAUCUGCACAGCGUUACCUCACGAAAUGUCUAAAGAAAAUCUAUACUUACAAAAUUUUAGAGUUACAGUGUCCACCGCAUUCAAAGUUUCGACAACUUUUAUUUUCAGUACUCAUUCGUCUUCUUUUAUAUCUGUCAAAUCGUAAAGUGAUGUACAGCGGAAUAUGUUUUUGAAUCGCGGAGUAAUCUACAAAACAGAAGGGGAACAGCUGUUUCCCACUACGUUCAUGCGCGCUGGCGCGAAUCCACUGUGAAGCGAGUCGAAGGUAGGGAUACUGAACAUGCUAUAUCUCCGGUAAUUUUGCUUAAUUCAAGCAGAAAUUUUCAGCAAGUAUUCUUCAAGUUAUGCACUUAUUUAAAAUAAUAAAAAAGUCCACUUCAAAAAGUGCACUUUCUCGUAUAGUCCUUUUGUUUGUAUGCUUCUAUUUUUGGCGUUUUCUUUAACAAUUCUUUGGUUUUGUCCAAUUAACAAUGUCUGUGUGUUAUUCUGCUAUUUUAGUAACAGUUCAAAGUUACCAGUAGUCUCGAAAAUGAGAAUGCGGUACUCAAAUUAGCUUAUCGUAGUAAACAUCGUAAGUAUGAAGCUUGGCCAAAUAUAGUGCCCUCAAACAUUCUAUAACCGUAAGAAGUUUAGACAUUCGUCGACUUUACAAAAUGCCGGACGCUAUUACCUGUACAUAUCUGGAGCAAAAUAUUCCUGGAGAUUGUUGAUACUUGUAAAACGUUUAUAUGUAAAUGCUAUUUGUAAAUAUUUUGUAUUUUCUGAUUUGCAAUAAUCUAGUAAGUAAGUAGAUUUUAUGAAACUAAAUUCAAACUCAAAUGUUUUAGAGGUUAGGAGAAAGAGCAAUACAAAUAUUUAUUUAGUUAACAAUUGUUUAUGGGCCAAUGGUGUAUCGAAGGAAUGUGGUGAAGUUAUUGAUGUAUAUACAAUUAUCACAAUUAUAUGUCUGAUCUUUGAUGCUUUGAAUUAAUGGCAUUAAAGUAUUCUUCCUUAUACGUCUCUCUUGAUUCUGGUCACUUCCUCCUCUAGGUCACUUCUAUAUGUAAUUAUGCUCGUUAUAAGGAGCAGUUAGAAGGUUAGUCAAGUUCUUAAUUUCCUUUUUAUAUUUGGAGUCUAAAAAAAUUUGAUUUAUUGUUCAUAUAUCAUUGUUUUUCUCUGUCUCAGUUCAUUUAUCGUCUGUAUGCUUUGCAAAUUAAGAAAGCACAGGUUUGGACUGUUAACCUGAAUUUAUUUCAAAUGUAAGAAAUCUUCGGAUUUCGUUUUGCUUUUAACACCUUAAGCGCUUUGUGUAUAAAAUAUAUACACAGUAGUCGGGUCCAGGGCGACGUGUGUAUAGAUAUUAUUCACGGGACAUAGCUGUAUUAUAGACCGUAAUUUUUUACGGCGCUUAACGUGUUAAUAGAUGGUGCUGUAGCGUCUAAUUGCAUAUUAUUUUAAAUAAUUUGCUAACAUGACAGAAAUAUUUUGUUUCGAUCCAGAGAGCUUGCCACAGCUCGCUCUGAUGAUUCCAAGAGGAUGAAAUCCGUAUAAGCGAAUGGUAGUUCUCUGUAUCGAAAUUCAAUCUUAAGGCCGGUCGUCCAUUGGAAGCGUAGUCGCGCGAUUCGUAGGUAGCGCGUAUACGUCCGUGUAUGAGCGAUCAUGCGACUGAGCGACUGGUAUCAUCCACUGCAGGCGACUGUAUACUACUUAGUUCGCGACUGUCAAACUUACUGUCGUCAUCAAAAGAAAGUGUAUUUUUGUGAAUAGCUUGUAAAAUAUACAUAGAAAGCAUAGUUUGCAAAGGAAUAAUUUAUUACACAAAUAUGUAUGUUAUUUAUUAACAACUUUAAAAAGGUUGGUACCUUUGUACAAUGGCCUCCCCUUUAACGAGAAUCGACUCUUCCAUAUAUUGUUGGCGAUUCAAAUUUACACCAAAUAUUUACUAUACUUUAUCAGUAUUUAAUUACAUUUUUUCCCCAAAUUGAAAAAAAAAACAAUAAGUAAUUUGUUAAUAAAAAUAAUUUAAAGGUUUAUGUAACUUUAUAUUUACUUGGUUUAGAUGUAAGACGUUUAGUAUUCUAAAAAUUUCAAAUAAAAAUUCUUUCGAAAAUUUGUUUAUCUUAAAACUAUAAGAAGUACUUAUUCACUUCUGUCGGCACUCCGCAAGUGCCACGCUCUAUUUUUUUUAUUUUUCGUUUACAUUGUAAUUAUAUAUUAUAAAAUAAUAAUAUUGAAAAACUAUUUUCACUAGCACCUACUUCUCUGCAACUUUCGACAACAAUUUCCUUUGAACAUCACGUGAAUGAUAUCUCUUGUCUUUCAUGUUCCACAACGGAGGCUUUUCAUAAACGGCACUAAUCAGUUUUUCGUUAUCAAUUUCCAUAUCGAAAAUAACACAAUUAUCGAAAAUUAAAACAAUAUCAAAAAUACCUGCGCAGAUAUUUAUUGCAAACCAGUGUUAGCAUCAACAUGCGAUUACCAGCGACUAAUCCCAUUCUAGGGGGAUCGGUCGCUUCUGGUCGGUCGAGCCCGGUCGCUCAAAGUAGUUUGCAGUGGACGUUGUUUAGUUACAUUUUAUUUGUUAGGAUUAGUCGCUUCUAUACGGGCGUAUACGCGCUACCUUCGAGUCGCGCGACUACGCUUCCAAUGGACGACCGACCUCACUGUCUUUCUUAUUUUUCAUUUACUUAUAGGUCUGGAUCCCGCGUACCAAAAAAAGUUGAUUAAUAGCAAGCUGAAAAUUUGUUAAUAGCUUAACAGUGUCUAGUCUGACAAACUGUUCGUGUCUAGUCUGUUAAAGAUUUGGAACGUCAGACUACGAAAACGUUCCAUGUAUUUUGUCGGACAGAACUUUUUUUUUUCUCUGAUUCUGGCCUUGGUUUAGAACUAGAACCUUUAGCCACGUAAUUGUAUAACUUAUCACUAAGUCAGGUGUAAUGUGUAGUGUGUGUGUGUGUGUGUGUGUGUGUGUGUUGAGUAAGUGUCUUGUUACUUUGCAAAGUCGACGUCAUUGUCUUUGCAAAGAGACGCUAAUUGUAUCCGAACGUCUGCGGUCCCUCCGGUGAGUUUCAAUCCGGAUAGAACUUCCAAUUGAUUUGUUACCCUUUCAUUAAACUCUCAUGCAAAAAUCAGACUGUUAUUUAUCACCUGUCAUUUGACAUGUUCUACGUGUCGGACUUAUUAAAAUGCCCAAUUGGUGAUAAAUACUAGUCUGAUUUUUGCAUGAGAGUUUAAUGAAAGGGUAACAAAUCAAUUGGAAGUUCUGUCCGACAAAAUACAUGGGACGUUUUCGUAGUCUGACGUUCUAAAUUUUUAACCUGUUCCACAAUUAAAACUUCCCCUGUUCCAGUGUUCCCAUAUAUCAAAGUUUGUCCGACGAGACACCGUUAAGCUUCUUAACAAAUUUUCAGCUUGCUAUUAAUCAAUUUUUUUUGUAGGCUGGACCCAGGCCUAUUACCCAAUUGAGUUCUUGAAAGUAACGUGUUAUGGAAUAAAAUUUCUAGAUUCCUCACUUCAUUUCAUUUAUCGUCUAUUUGUGUGUUCCGAUUUGGGCCGUUUCCUGAAUUGAUUUCAUAAGUAAGAAAUUUGCUAACAUGACAGAAAGAUUUUGUUUCGAUCUAGAGAGUCUACCACAGCUCGCUCUUAUGAUUCCAAAAGGAUGAAAUGCGUAUAAAAGCGCAUAUUGUUUUUCUUAUUUCGCUCUCUGUAUUUAUAUCCGUUACCGUAUCCCACCCUCUCAUUCCUUGUAUUACAACCUUUUCUAUGAAACCUGUGAUUAUGUGGCCUGGGAUUACCUGGGAAUUUUAUAUUCUAAACAGUUCGUCAAACUUGGAUUAUUUUUAAUCAUAAUUAUAAGAAAUAUUGAAAAAUGCCAUUAUAUUGUUAAUAACUUCCAAUUUUUCACGAUACACUGUUAACCUAUUCCAUAUGCCAGAACGAUUGAUUACAUACUUGGCAAACCUUUUUCUGCCAUUGUAAUGAAACGGUCUGUGUAGAGUCAAUGAAUAUAGACGCUCAUAGAAAGUUAUCUUUUCUGGAGAUGAUGUUUUCCGUUUUGGGUGUACAUAAACGAAGUUUGUAAUUCGGUCAGAAGAGACGAUAAUAAUAAAACUCUGCGUAAUUCAUGCAAACGCUGUGGAAACAAGGUUUGGCUGAGUUGGGCUACGGCCAGACAAGCGACAAUUUACAACGCUGUAAGAGCAGUAAAAUAAAGCGCGAAAAUGGGUCCUAUCCUAUGUAUUGCUAUGUUGCUGCGCUAUAGUUUACAGCUCAGUCUGGCCAUCCACUACACUCACCGUGGAACCCAUUUUUCGCGCUUCAUUUUACUGCUCUUACAGCGCUGUAAAUUGUCGCUUGUCUGGCCAUAGCAUAAUGGGUAAAACUAAUGGAUUUAGGGUUGAUACCCAGAUCAAGUAAUUUUUUUUGUUUUCAGUCUGGUGGGAUGUCGAGUAACAUUAUGUUGUUUUAUAUGCCAUUUAUAGGGCAUCUAUGCCAUUUCGUUCGUUGCGAUCCGGGAUUGCACGCCGGGGUUUGUUUUGAUUUGAUCAGAGAGAGCAGCAUAAUAUGUGCCUCCUGAUGAGAGACAAAAGCAGGCAGCGCACUGAAUCGGCAUAGAGCGAUCGGCUCGGCUAAGAGCAGUCGGCAGAUUUUGCUAUAUGUACAUGGAAAUAAAUGAGCCACCGCGACUGUCGCGUGACGUUCGACUGUCGAACGUUCUUAGGCGGUGCGCGGUGGCUAAUUUAUUUCCAUGUACAUAAAGCAAAAUCUGCCGAUUGCUCUUAGCCGAGCCGUUCGCUCUAUACCGAUUCAGUGCGCGCGCUGCUUAAUAAGUUUCGAAACCGGUAGAGGUGCUUGCUGCACUCUCUGAUUGGACUGCAAUAUGGUGCGGCUGUAUUUUCGUUUGGCAACGAAAUUGAAAAUGGUUAUUCAUUUUUAAUUUUCUUUACUUUUUCUUGUACUGUUUUAUUUUUAUACUGUAUUACAAAAAACAUUACAAUAUCGUAGUACUUAUUAGUAUGUAGUAGUAGAAUAAAUACAGAGUACUUCAGUUAAUUAUUAUCCAAGAGAAAAUAGACAUCGAAGAAGAAGUACUUAUAAAAAGUGGUUACACUUGAUUCCUUAGUUAUACAGUAUGCCCCUGUAAGUUGGAACCAUAUGGAAAACUUUUUUAUUGUUAAUUUUACGAAAAAAACUAUUUUAUUCAUACUCAUAAAAAGCUCUGCAUGAUCUAAAACCUAAGAUUCAACUCAGAUAUCAAAUUUUAUGAAUAAUAUACGAGGUAUGUCGAAAAAUAUGAAUUUCGCUGAAGAGUAAAGUAGCUUUAUUUUUCACAAUAUUGAAAAUUGUUAUUAUGAAAAAGUUGUUUGGAAUUAAGAUAUAUAUUCUAAUAUGCAAUUACAUCCUUCUAAUUGAAAAAAAAUUGCAAAUUUUUCUGAAAUUAUGGAUAACCAACAUUAUUUUCAGUUACUUCGAUUAUGAUAACUCUUUUAUUAUUAAUUUUACGAAAAAAGUUAUUCUUUAUAAAAUGUUCUAUAUGGUAUAAAACCUAAUAUACAACCAACUUAUAUCAAAUUUAUUCAAUUUUAUACGAGGAUUAUGAAAAGUUGUUCAGAAAUUAAAAACUAUGUUCCAAUAUGUAAUUACAUCCUUCUAAUUGAAAUUUUCUGAACUAUAAAGGUACUUUCCUCUUGAAAUUCAUAUUUUUUGACAUACCUCAUAUAAAAUUGAUACAAUUUGAUAUGUAUAUUAGAUUUUAGAUCAUACAGAACAUUUUAUAAAGAAUAACUUUUUUUCGUAAAAUGAAUAUUAUUUUUUUUUAUUAUUUAGCUAGUGCCUCGACAACUAAUGGCCAUUGACAUGGUAGGUACGGUAAAUUUUUGCAGUUAGGUACCUAGUGUCAUGUGUAGUGUGUGUUGAGUAAGUGUCUUGUUGCUUUGCAAAGUCGACGUCAUUGUCUUUGCAAAGAGAGGCUAAUUGUAUCCGAACGUCUGCGGUCCCUCCGGUGAGUACCGAUCUCACAAGAAAAUUAAUAAUAAGUGACUGCCAUAAUUGAAAUACCUGAAAAUAAUGUUGGUUAUCCAUAAUUUAAGAAAAAUUUUCAUUUUUUUUUUUCUAUUAGAAGGAUGUAAUUGCGUGUUAGAAUAUAGUUCUAAUAGUUCAGAGAAAUAAGGAAAAAAAUAUCCUGUUUGUGACAUAACCCCCUCCAGGCCGAAACCAAAUUUUUUGAGUAGUAUGGACAUCUAUAUUAAUAACCUAUAUGUUUCCUGCAGCCGAUUUUGAUGAUAUACAUAGUUAUAAACAAGUGAAGAUAAAAAACGGUAAAUUUUCGCUUUUUUCGUCUAUAACCAAAAAGUUAAGUAUUUUAAACAAAUUUGAGAGUAAGAAACUCAUAAACCGUAUAAAAAACUUCAAUAUGGCGUUCGCUGAAUAUGUCUAUCAUUAUUGGUUGCUUAGAAAAUUGCGAAAUAAAUAAAAAAUUUUGAGUUUUUACAAAUAUUCAUAACUUAUGUAAAAAUUAACUUAGAACGUUCUUAUUACACGGAAUGCUGAAACUCCUGGUGCUUAAAUCAUACCCUAAAUUUUAAAGCAAUUGGUCAAAUAGUUUAAAAGGUAUUUAAUUUGUUUAAACGCUAUAAUUAAUUUUUUUUGCAACGCUAUAAGUCAGAAAAUGAUGAAGUUACAGUAAUACUUUGGAUAGUUUAUGAAAGAAGAAGAUUUUUACUAUUAAUUUAAUUAAAAAAAAAUGCCAAAAAAUAAUUCUAAAUACUGCAAAAUUAUUUUGCAAAAACAUGUGAAUUAAAAAAAGGGGGGGCUAACUUCGUGCCUGAGUGUUCUAGAACAAUUGUUUUUCUUUUUAAAUGUGUAUAAAAAUUCAGUCUUUCCAAAUAUGAAAAAAUAAUUUUUCUACGGGUAACGGUUAAAAAGUUAUUCUAAUUGUUUAUAAGUAAGCAAAGAAUCGACGUGUUUUUGCAAAAUAAUUUUACACUGUUUAAAAUUACUUUUGGUCAUUUUUUUAAAUUAAGUCAAUAGUAUAAGUGUUCUUCUUCCAUAAACUGUCAGAAGUCUGACUGUAACCUCAUAAUUUUCUGACUUGUAGUGUUGCAAAAAAAAAAUGAAUUUGGGAUAAACAAAUUAAAUAACUUUUAAACUAUUUGACCAAUUGCUUUGAAAUUUAAAAUAUAAUUUAAGCACCAGAAGUCUCAGCAAUUUCUGUAAUAAGAAGGUUCUAAAUUAAUUUUUACAUAAGUUAUGAAUAUUUAUAAAAACUCAAAAUUUAUGAUUUAUUUUGCAAUUUUCUAAGCAACCAAUAAGGAUAGACAUAUUCAGCGAACGUCAUAUUAAAAUUUUUAAGACGAAUUAUGAGGUUCUUACUCUCAAAUUUGUUUAAAAUGCUUAACUUUUUGGUUAUAGACGAAAAAAACGAACAUUUACCGUUUUUUGAUCUUCAUUUGUUUAUAACUAUGUAUAUCAUCAAAAUCGGCUGCAGGAAACAUAUAGGUUAUUAAUAUAGAUGUCCAUACUACUCAAAAAAUUUGGUUUCGGCCUGGAGGGGGAUGUGUCACGACAAAAAUCUUAUUUCUCUGGACUAUAAUUCCAAACAACUUUUCAUAAUAACAAUUUUCAAUAUGUAUUAUGAAAAAUAAAGCUAAUUCAUAUUUUUCGACGUACCUCGUAUAAUAUUGAUAAAAUUUAAUAUUUAGUAAAAUAGAAAAUCUACGGUUUCGUUUUGAUUCAAAUUUGUCUAUUGCCAUCCCCCGAUAGGACUAUUUCUAGGUCUACCCGUUGUCAAGGAGGCUCUGCAGAAGACAAAUUCACACCAACACGUCCGUAGUUUCUCGGUAUAAAAUAAACUAUUUAUACUGCAGUAUGUUUAGAACGCCCUCUAACGGAGAAUAAGUGAAAUGAAUGUCGACUCGAUUUAUACCUUUUGGUAUUGUCAUAUGGUAUGGUAAAUGCCAUACUCUGUAUUAGAGUACAAAGACUCGAUUCAUACAGGUUCUCUGAACCGUAAAUUGGAAUAUUUUCCUAACGGUGCCUUUUGGUAUUGUCAUACAUGGGUGAAACAGAGAACUUGAAUCGAGUCGACAUUCAUUACAAUUUAAUAUUUGAUGUUUGAAUCUUAGGUGUCAGACAAUGCAGAUCUUUUUAUGGAGAAUAACUUUUUUUUCGUAAAAUUAAUAAUAAAAAAGGUUUCCAUAAGGUUCCAACUUACAGGGACAUACUGCAAAAAACCCAACCUAACAAAUGUGUCUAGAUCCUACAAAUCAAUUUAAUUAUUGAUCUGUAGCUCGGCCAAACCUUCAGCUCAUAAUCUUUACCAAAAGUUUAUAAAUGGACUGAGCAAAACAUUGAUUGUUGGCAUCUUUAUCCAUGCGAUGUCAACCUUAUUAUCUAUAUUUAUUCACAAUUAAGGAGCAUUUUCUAGUUAAGGAUUAACUUUCUAUGAGCGUCUAGAUACUAAAUUUAAUAUUCGUGCUAAUAUUAAAGCAAAGAAUGCACAUUAUUUUGUAAAAAUUUUGUAUACGUUGUUACAUAAGAAUCGAUUUGGUUCGAUUUAAAACUUUAACAAAAUGCGCAGUUUAUUUUUUUUGUAUUCAUUGUAAAAUAAAUUAAAGAUCUUUUAUCACUUUGUACAAAUAUAUGCUACUCGCAAUAUUUAUAAUAA
rnacentral:lncRNA from 1 species